AUUUAUCUAUAAAUUAAAACUAUUCGUUAAGGGUAGAAUGGUCCUUUCAUGUAUCAAUUAAAAUAAAUCAGACUUUUAGUUAUUAAUUAUUAAUUAUUAAUUAUUAAAUUAUAUUGACUAAGUCUUGCCAACUAUCCUAGUUUUAAGGGGGCCACUAUCUCACACAAACUCUCUCACACACUUAAACCUCUCUCUCUCUCUCAUCAAUUUUUAUUUCUUUGCUCCAAAAACAAAAAAGAGAAUAUUAGAAAACAAUCAAAAGUUCCCUACACUCAAAAAACAUACAAAAAAAUAUAUACAAGCAAGCAAGCUAACUUAAGAAACGAAAACUUUGCAUCAUCAUCUCGACAAGUUUGUGUUGAAGGUUUUUGGGAGGUCCUGGGAAGCACUUGGAAGGUGUGGAAGGAUAUAACAAGGAGCAGGCACAGGUAGACGUUAGAGUUUACAGGUUGACGUUGCAGCUAUCCGGACGUGGAACUUUCAUCCAGACUUGGUAGGCCCUCAUGAUUUCGAGGAUGUCUACCGUUAUUAUCUAGAUUAAAUGUAGGCUUUAGCUAGUGGAGCAUGUUCGACUUGUGUUUCUUUCAACUUUCAUUUCAUACUUUGUAUUGGUGCCGUUUUGGCAAAAAUAUGUUUAAGGCAAUUAUGAACUGUUUCGUUCGUUUGA